UUCUACAACGACUCAACAGUUGCGAAGUAAGCUGGAGCAAUAAUAACAACAUAUCACUUCUAUAUAAAAUUUUUGAAACUACGUACUGACUAUAACUGGAGAUCAGUCAACAGACAAUGAACAUUGUUUUCUAUUUUCGAAAAUGUUAAACAGAACUUCUUCUGUAAACCGUCAUAACUUACAAGCACGGGGGGUGAUCAGCCCGUUAUGUCCUGUAUUGAUCAAUAC
rnacentral:lncRNA from 1 species